rnacentral:rRNA from 1 species
GGGGAAUAUUGGGCAAUGGACGAAAGUCUGACCCGGCAAGGCCGCGGGAAGGAAGAGGGUUUUCGGGUUGUAAACUUCUUUAAAGGGGGAGAGGAGGAAGAGGUUACCCCGUGAAUAAGCCACGGCUAACUACGGGCCAGCAGCCGCGGUAAUACGUAGGUGGCAAGCGUUGUCCGGAUUUACUGGGUGUAAAGGGCGUGCAGCCGGGAAGGCAAGUCAGAUGUGAAAUCUGGAGGCUCAACCUCCAAACUGCAUUUGAAACUGCUUUUCUUGAGUAUCGGAGAGGUAAUCGGAAUUCCUUGUGUAGCGGUGAAAUGCGUAGAUAUAAGGAAGAACACCAGUGGCGAAGGCGGAUUACUGGACGACAACUGACGGUGAGGCGCGAAAGCGUGGGGAGCAAACA